rnacentral:lncRNA from 1 species
GUAAUUUUUUAGUAGGAUCCUGCACUGAAGAUAACCUACAAGGAUGAUGUUGCAUUACAAGGUGAUCCUGCACUGAAGACAUUAGUAGUUUUUUCAUAGGUGAUCCUGCAUUUGUACUAAUUAUGCAUGCAGUUAAAGCUAAGAAAACAUUGUUGUUGAUAAGAGCUCAUAAUUUGUUUAAUUCUUCAAUGUAUUGCUCAAAAGUGAUUUAAACUUCAAUGUCAUAAUAUUGCAAUGUAGAUAAAUCAUUUUGGAAUUAAAAAGACCUGGAGAUGAUCCAUCAUAUUGGCUGUAUGCUGUUUACUUGAACCAUAGUUAGUAGUCUUUUCCUUGCAACGAGAAAGAGGCACUUGAAAACUUUUCUUUAAUCGUUAACAAAUGUUAUACCUUUUCCUCGGGGGCUUUAGCUAUCAUAGAGACAUAGACUUGAGCUUUUGAUGUCAAAGAAAUGGUUAGUGCUGAUUCACUGCCUGUUCUUUAAAGCUUGUUGUAAUAAUUUGGUCAGAUCUAGACUGGUCCAUGUCUUUUUAAGUUACACAUAGGAGUUUCUCUACAAGGUUUCGUUCAAAUUUUCUACUAAUACAGCCAUGGCGUUCGGCGGAUGCCUUUUAACUAACAGGAGGUGGUCGUCGGUCCGGAAAAUAGAACAGCAUCAUCUGGGGACAAUUUCUUAAGAGUUAAUCUUGUUGGUGAUUUUGUUGGCUAUACAAGUACUCCAUCACUUGAGGACUUUUAUCUUGUAAUUCCUAGGCAGGUAUGUUUGAACCGUAGUGUCUUUAUUUUAUACAACUUGUUGGCUAUUAAAUUUUGUGCUACUCUAUUAUGUUCUUUACUUUUUCCAUAUUAACAUUUUCCUUCAUUUCUGUAUGAAUAAGAAGAGAAAACCCUUUCUGUUGUACGUAUGAUUCCAUCUUGUAUGCUUGAUAUAUUAUAACUUAGAUUUUAUAUUUGAAGGGUGGUCCUGGACAGCCCCAAAACCUUGGAAAUAAUAUUUCUAUGUGGAUGUUGCUGGAGAGAGUGCGAUUUACAUUAGAUGGUCUUGAAUGCAACAAGAUUGGUGUCAGUUAUGAGGCUUACAAUGGACAACCUAACUUCUGCUCUGCACCAUUAUGGAGUUGCUUGCAUAAUCAAUUAUGGAACUUUUGGGAGGUUAGACUUCUUAUAUGAAUCCGCUUCUGUUUGUACUUUGUACACAUACUUGCUCCAUUGCUUGGUCUGGUUGAUUAUGUGAUUUUGAAUUUUCUUGAAAAAAACUACUAAGAUAAUGUUAUAAUUAGUGUGAGUUAGAGAGGGGAAACAUAUCUAUGAGUUAAAUUGUUGAAGGAGCAUUAGUUGAAUCAUUUUUUUCCCUUAUUGAUCGGUAAACCAAGCAAUAAUCGUGUUUUGACUCGUUAUGAUGACUCGUUAUGAUGGCUAGAGAGUGUUUUGACUCGAAUGUAUAAUAAUCAAUUGUGUGCUUCGGUGCUACCAUACUUAAUAAGUUAAUAUGUUUCAUCCAGGCUGAUCAGAACAGAAUUCAAAGGAAUCAAUUACCCCUGUAUGGAGUGGAAGGAAGAUUUGAAAGGAUAAACCAGCAUCCAGUAACGAUCUAUUAAAUAUUUUUCUGUUACUAUGUCAUUUUAAAGCUUUUCUCUAACAUCUCUCCAUUAUGUGCAGAAUGCAGGGACUCAUUCUUUCUCUAUUGGGAUCACUGAAGUUCUCAAUUCAAAUCUUUUGUUGGAACUAAGUGCUGAUGAUAUAGAAUAUGUCUACCAAAGGUUCAUUAUAUGCCUCUUAAUUUAUUAUAAUUGUAGUCCAGGGUGAGGCUACCAUUUCAUAUUUGAAUGUCAGCACACUUCAUUAACAAACUUAUUAGAAAAAUGUUUUACUUUUUCACCUAGUGUCACAUUUAAACAUAGAAAAGAUAAAUAGUUGAACAUGUCUAGUACCUUGUGUUGAUAAAAUAAAUUAAGAGAAAAAGGUUUAAGAUUCAUGUCCAUUUAGGAUCCUUGGGAAGUUAGAAAAUACUGUCAUUUUUUUAUUCAAAAUUGAAUCUUCUGUUUUCAGGAGUCCUGGAAAAAUACUAAGUGUUACAAUUCCAACAUUUGAAGCUCUCACUCAAUUUGGAACUGCUGCAAUCACAACUAAGAAUAUUGGUAAACUGGAAGCAUCAUACAGCUUGACGGUAUUCUCAAUUUUCACAUAAUAUUCUAGGUUAGACAAGCACUUCGAUAUUCAGUAGUGUUGAGCAUGUUAUUUAGGUUUGAGAUGAUUAUAGUUUUAAAUAUUCAUAGUGGAAUGUUGUUCAUGUAGAUAAGUCAUAAGUUUGCUAGGAAUCUGAUUCCUUUCUAUUGCAUGGAACACAUUUUUUGAUUGGUUAAAGUUAAGAAUAAUAUUGAGAACGAACUAUGUGACUUUUAUAUGAAUUUUCUGUAUUAUGCUUGACUAUGCAUUGUUUUAUAAAAGUACUAUUGUACAUAAUAUUUGAAUGUCUGGAAUAUUUUGUAAACAACCAAAACUUCUGGUUUAUAAGCAUGAUUGUGAAAAAUAUUGGGGGCAAUGAUAAACAGAUCCUACAUGUACCCUUUAUAUUCAGAAAGUUGUUGGUUCACUGUCUUUUGCUAACUUUGGUACCUUAUUGAAUAAUGUAUAACCUUGUGAUUUCACUAUAAAGAGCUCUGCUCUACUAUAGAUUUGUUACAGGGGAAAAAAUCAAGUCUAGUUAAGGUUUAAAGGUUGUAUUUUUGCAUUAUCUGCACGUUUCGGUCCGGCCUACUCAUGUAUGAGGGUGCUUUUAUUCUUUGUAAAGUAGAACCUUUGGCUCCUCUGUGUAUAAUCUUCACCUAAUAAGAUAAUAUUUUUGCACACAUUUUGAACUACAGUUAUCUUAUGCAUUAAAAGAUGCAUCCUAGUAUUUUUUUUUUAACAUCAAUAGUCCACGAUAAUUUCCUAAAUUUUUCACAUUUGAAUUUUUGUAGUUUGAUUGCGCAAGAGGUGUUACCCUCAUGGAGGUACCCAUUUCUUGCACCAAUCUGUAACGCAUAUGUAUUUGAUCCUCAUUAUUAUGAUCAAGGAUAUUUAAAGAAUAAAUUUUACGAAUUUCUGGUCUCAGGAACAAUUUUUUAUAAUGAAACCAGAAGAAGUAGCCAUUCGCUCAUUUAAACUGUAUCUCACAACAGAUCAAGCUGCAAAGUAUGAAUGUGCGGGUGAGGGAAAAAUUAUGAAAAUUUAUUGGUUAACAGCAUGGUAUCGUUGGUAGAAUAGCAUUACGCUCCAUUGUUGAAAUGCUUGUGCUUGAAUGCAGCUAUACUGAAGGACUCUGAUUUUAAUGAAGUUGAUAGAGCAGAGUGCCAAUUUACCACCACAGCUACAAUACUGGAGAAUGGGUCUCAGGUUUGGAAAUAGCUUAAGACUAUAAUUUAACGUUCUGUCAUCAUUCAUUCCCCAUCUCCUGGGCAUACAUCUUAUAUAGGACAUGUUUGAACAAAAUAUAUGACACUUCCAUACUAACAAGGAAAAUCACUGUAUAUAUUUUUCUGAAAACAUCUGGAUUUGACUAUUGUAACUGUAAUGCUUGCCGUUGUAAAUGUAUUUUUGAAGAAGAACUCAGGAAAGUCAUAAAUACCUGUAGACUGUAGUAGAUACAAUUAGUAUCUGUUUUUAACUCUUCUUACAUUUGUUUUAUUUCAAGCUUAUUCAGUUGUGGGUAAAAGCAUAAGUUAGUAACCUAUUUUCAAGCAGUAAUUUAUAAUAAAAUAUUAUUUUAUGAGUAUUUGCAUGUUCUGUGUUUUACUUAUUAAUUUAUGGUAAUUAUCCUUAAAAAUAUUGAAAAGAGUUCCAGUGUUUUCAGAAAGUUUUCUGACCUGGAAGGAAACUAUUAUUGACCCUACUCCAUCUAGGUUUAGUGGAAUAACCGUAUAACAUAAAAUGAAUCCAGAGACCUUGCUUUUAGAUAAAUACUCCACUUGUUUAAUGUGAGAUGUUCAUGAUAGUUUGAUUUAAAAUUUUUCUUCUUUUUCUAUUCCUUUUUUUUUCUCUGUUAUAUUCCUUUUGAUCCUGGCAGAAAACUGGUUUGUUAGUGACAAGUGUUUUUGCAUACUUUUGUUUGUCCUUUAUAAAUGUUGAGUUUUUUGGUUAAUCACAUUGAACAUUCACUUGGAACCAUUGCAAAAUUUGCAGAUUACACCUUUUGAACCACCAAAGAGCGACAUAAAUGGUUUUUUUGGACCUAUUCAAAGCUUAUGGAAAAAUCUAGGAGAUAGUUUUAUAGAUUUCUUUACCGGAAGAAUAUGCAGGUAUGUGUUUUAAAUGAGUCAACAAAUGCAGUUUUUGGCAUUUUCAUUUGAUUUAUCAGCAUAUUAAGACUCUACAUUCGAUUAUACUAAGACCCUGCUUGGCACCCUAUAAAGAUAUCAUUCUGCAAAAAUAGAGAACAUCGUGUGGCAAUGUUUGCAAUAAAUUUAUACAUGUAGAGCUGUAGGUGCAAAAGCACCAGUCUUCACAAGUUGCUUUUUGCUGCAAAAUAAUGAUGAAAUCUGUCUCUUUCGUGCUCUGCUUUUAUUGAAUUAUUACACUCUCAGAACACCAACAUCGAUUUAGUAUUGCAAUUUUUUUUCAGUAUGUCCUGCUAAAUGAUCAGACUGUGAUGCACAGAUUUUAUUGCUAUCUUAGUAUGAUCCUUUAUAAUGAGAUUAGAGAUUGAUUUUUUGUUGCAUGUGAUGUACUAUGAAUCUGAGUUGGCUUGCUGAGUGUCAUGCGUCUUUUGAGUGAAUUGUAUCAAGUAAAUCAUCCUAAUUUUAAGUUGAGAUCCUUUUCUCUUUUCUAACUGCCUCUCUGCAUAUGGGCUUGUACUCUGUCAUCUUGCUUAUAAUCACGUGAUUAUGAGCAGAAGUAAAUGCUCAGGUUUCUUUGACUUCCGUUGCCACAUUCAGUAUAUAUGUUUGAGUUGGAUUGUAACACCCCGGGUUGGCAGGUGGUUUGCCGAGGGGGUGGAUCCUACGGAACUAAAAGGGGGAUAUCCUGAUAUUGGAAUAUAGGUAUAGAUCCGGAAUAUAUAAUCACCGAGGCCUUUUGGGCUCACUUGGCUCCGGAAUUCGAAAGAACUCCGGAGUUAAGCGUGCUCGGGUGGGAGUAAUCUCAGGAUGGGUGACCUUCUGGGAAGCAGACUGCUGCCCAUAAAACCCCACACUGUCGAAUAUCCGCAGUGGCAAAGUGGGGACAAUAUCGGUGCUGAUAUAGGUCGGGUCGUUACAAAUGGUAUCAGAGCAGACGACGGUUCAUCUGUCGAGGGUGGGAGAGUAUGCUGGAAAGGCGCCUAGCCCAGGAAGGGGUGACGGUUGCGCCGAGUACUCGUCUCGCGAGGGGCAGGGAACGUCGAAGAUCUGGGGCUGUAUAUUCCAGAGCCGAGGACGGCUCUCCUCUUAGGUGGUGGGAUUGUAACACCCCGGGUUGGCAGGUGGUUUGCCGAGGGGGUGGAUCCUACGGAACUAAAAGGGGGAUGUCCUGACAUUGGAAUAUAGGUAUAGAUCCGGAAUAUAUAAUCACCGAGUCCUUUUGGGCUCACUUGGCUCCGGAAUUCGAAAGAACUCCGGAGUUAAGCGUGCUCGGGUGGGAGUAAUCUCAGGAUGGGUGACCUCCUGGGAAGCAGACUGCUGCCCAUAAAACCCCACACUGUCGGAUGUCCGCAGUGGCAAAGUGGGGACAAUAUCGGUGGUGAUAUAGGUCGGGUCGUUACAUGGAUGGUGUUGUUUGGUUUACUUUUGGCGAUUUUUCCAACAGGUAAUUUUUUUUUUUUAGUUCGUCAGUCACUGAUAGUUGUUGUACUAACAAGGACAAAUGAGUAAUUGGUUGCAUUUGGAGUUGCAGUGGUUGUUCUUCUGUGGCUUUUACAUCAAAAGGGAAUAUUUGAUCCUCUUUAUGAAUGGUGGGAGGAUCAUGUGGAGUUAGGGAAGCAAAGACCUGUAGAUCCAAGGCAUGGAACAGAUGGUGGCCUCUCCUACUCCUAUCCCCAUAAACAUGGUAGGCUGGAAGGGAGGCACUAUAAGGUUCACAACAAGCAAAGAAGUAGUCACCAUGCUCAUCAUAGGCUGAAUAGGCAUGGCCAUCUUGAACAGGGUACUGAAUAUUAUCACCAUACGCAUGAUGAUCAUCUCCACCAUGUUCAUAGAGACAGACACAAACAUACACGUCGUAAGAACUUGGGUAUCAUGCUGCAUGAUUACUCAGAGAAGGGAGUUUUACCCUCUUUUAAGGAAAGAAAAGACAGUCCAAUGGAUGAAUAUUUUGAGAGUCGUAGACCGAAAAAAGAAAAAGGACAUGUCUAGCGAAGCCACAGAUAAACCACAUAGAAGAAUUGUAGAGUCAUGUGCCACAGGGGCCAUAUAUAUUAAUUUGUAACCCGAAUAUAGUUAAAUUGGUCACAUUGGAAAAUAUUAAUGCAAUGUUGCUUGUAAACUUUGACAUGGUGACACCUUUGGAAGUUUCAAUUUUUUCUUUCCUUUCUCUUUUGUUUUGUUUUUUUUUUUUUUUUUCUAUUUCCAUCCUUUCAUUCAUUUGCAUUUCUAUAAGUUGUCUGGGCAGGAUUCGCACGAAUGGGAACAAAAAUUUACAAAAAAUUGUAAGAAACCCAAGUGGGAAUUCACUUUAGCUGGAUAAUGGCUUGAGAAGAAAAUGAUAAUAGUUCCCUCCCUUGAUCUACACUGUGCGAAGGUAUUGUAUACAUUUUUUUUCAAGCAUUCUUGUAUUGGAAACUCUUGGUAUAGUGUAUCUAUUCACACAUGAAACUUGUAUAUCCAUCUUUCUGUUUUGCUGAAGGUGUAUAUCCUGUGCCAUACUUCUAUUUAUUCUUCUUGGAAACCCGAAUGUGAAAACCAUCUGGAAACGACAAACCAGGAGUACGAACAAUAUUCCCUCCCUUUACUGCUGUCCACCUGUUAAAUUUAAAUGCAAUAAGGAUAAAUCUUUCUCUUUUCGUUUAUCCAUUUACUGAAUUUAUAUCUAUGUGUAGUAGCCACUAUCACAUCUUUCUGUUAUAGAUUUGUGUACCUGUACUGUGUAACCAAGCAAUGCAGAAAGACGGCCAUCUGCACCUUAGUGAAUUCUGUUCCAACGCAGAAUCUCAUUCCACCCCCAAAAGCCAUAAAAUGCUUGGAAGCACCAUUUGAUUCCAUUCCCUGUGUAAACAUUGAUUGUAUUGAAAUGACAACUCACUAGACAAGUGCAAAGUGAAUGCAGUCAUGUAGGUUAACCAUUUCCUUUAAUUGGCAAUGUAUUGCAUGCUAUGGAACAAAGGUAAAAAGUUGAGUUCAGUGACCAACCUUCCAUCUCCCGGGAUUGAACUCAAGGGGAUUUUCGUAUUUGGCAGGAUUUAAGUGUACAGCUGGAGGACAGACCAUAAUUGCCCAACCUGCUGGAAUUGUAUAACCUGCAUUAUUCAUGAUAGAUGUUAGUUUUGUUUAUUUUUGGAUGAAUGGUAUCAUAUUGUUCGAAACUGAUUCAAAAUUAGUGUACCCUUUAUUUCUAUAUCUCGCAUUGCCUUUCUGAAAAUCCCUGGGACAAUAUUUGCUAGCCUGACUACUUCAUUGAUAACCUGCAGUUUCAGUGAAGUUGUGACUUAGUUAACGAAGAAAACCUCUGAAGGGAAUUCAAGGUACACGUAGGUGUAACAAACAUCAGGUUAGAUUGCUCUACACACCUGAGCGGUAUAUGUCAUUGAUUUAUAUUCUUUCCAUGUGAGUUUUGCAUCCUCAUUUUCCCUGUUUCUGACAAUUGUCUCGUGCUCUUCCUGAUAAGUAAUAAGUGAUAAGACCAUGUCAUUUCGGCAACAAGUAAACAAACAGAAAAGGUGUAAGCUCAGGGAUUGGAAUAGACUGAGUACUCUAAAUCUGGUUCACACACCGUUAGUUCCUUCAGCACGUGAGGGUGGUCUGUAAGAAGUUUAAUGGCUAAAGUCAGAGCCAACGAUGUUGUCUCAAAACUUGCAAACAGAAGCACGAACAUUAAAUCUAGAGCCAUUUCCUCUGUAAGAAUUGUUCCUUCCUUCUUCAGUUCUAUGAGGACAAAAUCAAAGAAAUCUUCCUGGCAUCUCUCAGGCAUCAAACGUCUCUCCUCUAACAUAUCUUUCAGCAUUUUCAUCGCCUUCUUUCGUCCCUGAAAAAAUUUACAUAGACUGAGAUAUAUAAUUCACGAAAAUUCUACAUGUCAAGAAACAAAGUAUGGACUAGAGAUUGAAAUCAUAGAUUAUCAGGUACCUGUAAACAUUUAUGAUAAGCAGUACCAGGAAUGUCAAGGGGAAACGAUAUCAAUCCGUGUAUGAAUGCGACAAAAUUCUCUCUUAGAUUCUCUGAGGAUUUUGCUGGAUCGUAUUCAUAACUGAUCAGCUUUUUUGCCGUCAGAUCAAAUAUCAUCUGUAAAGUUGAGUUAGAUCACGAGAAGCAACUUCAUUUUUAAAAUUGUAUGAAAAGAAGUCUCAGUUUACUUGAACUUACAUUUGCUGUGGCUUCUUUCAGUUCGACGGUACCCUGGCUUGCCCACAAGCCUAAGGUUUUGUGUGCUGUAAGUUCCACUUGAGGGAGAAGCUUGUCUUUUAGGCUCUCAGGACCAAAUAGACUCAAAACCAAGUUCUUGAGGUACUUGUACACGAAGCCAUGUAAGCUGCCUACAUUUUGUCUACCAAAGAUCUCUGUAAAAGUAUCUGGGUACCAGCUCUGGACCAGAUGUCCUUCUUGUUGAAAGAUGAAAUGAUUGAUCUCUGGGUCUGUUGAUAUUACAACAGGCCGUCCUACCAAGCUUGUUCGAAAUACUGGCCCGUACCUGUAAAUGAUUGCAGAAUGUAAGUGACGAGAUUGACACUUGCACAUAUUUUAUGAGAACAAAAAAAAAAUUGAUCCGUCGCUGUUGCUAUGUUACUAAAUUACCUUUUCAUUCUAUCUUUGAUGAAUGGAGGAAUAGCCGAUGACGUGUUGGGGGCAAAGAAUUGAAGGGUUUCUCCGAGUAGUGGCAAUCCCAUUGAACCUGGUGGGAGCUUUCCGUUGCAUUUGGGAUUCCUCCACCUAUGCACCCAGUGAGUUAUAGAUAUGACAAUGAAUGCACCAAUGCACAGAAUUGGCCACAUCUUUCUCAAAUGUGUACUAAUGUGGUUUUAUGGCCAAAGAAGUUCCCUCUUUUUGUUUAGAUCAAAAGUUCUUUGUACUGGGUGGAAUUGCUUGAAAUGGGUCUUAGAGACUAAACAGAAUAUGUGAGUUUUGAAAGUUGAGAGGUGGGGUUGCAAAGUGGAAGGGAGUGAAGGAGUAUGAGAACUGCUGGCAUGUUAUCUCAUGAACAAUGAAAAUCACUACUUAAAUAGACAAAUUUAGCUUACAACUGGGACAAAUAUAUAUUAUAAGUUGGCUUCAUUUGUUUUCUGCAGUCGGUUGCUCGAAAAAGCUGUAGAAGUAGUUGGAGAUAAGAAUAGAAUAGCUUAAAUAAUCUGUUUAGAGAACACUCGUACACCUCUUAUCCUUGUCAACGUUUGUAUUAAAUUGUGGUAAGGUGUUAUUAAGCGUAGCAUGAUGAAGGUAACAGGGUGCUUCUUGAUUCCCUUCAGUUGUUAGCCAGCUUUUUGGUUCUUCUUCAUUACACAUACACCACGUCCUAAAGUAUUUCUUAAUGUUAAUCCCUUAACCUUCUCUUGUUCUUGUCGGUUGUCUGUCUUCAGGAUUGCAGUACACUAAAAGGCUUUGAGUUCAUUGCAGGUUCAAUUAUUCACACGAAUCUACGCGAGCACGAGGCACUAAUGUCAGCUUUUUAAGGGUGAGCAAGACCUAUUCCCUCUAUCUGAAAAGAUAUAUGAAGUUCCACAUGAUCUUACUGACCUAAGUAUAUCAGGAUCCAAUCUUCAAAUGCAUCAUAAAAUACUAGAAUCUAAUGAGUUACACCAACCAUUUGAGAUCUUCCCAAAUCUAUGUUAAAUACUCCGCUUUGCUCCCUAAAAGAUUUUAAUGCCAUUGAAAAUAUGAAUUUUUUUAUGUAAUUAGAUAUCUUCCUAGAUAUCAUUUACCUCUUGCUAAUCAUCUCAAAUUCUCCAUAUCAUGGUCAUAUCUUAGUUCUUUCAAUAACAUUCGUUUAGAUAUUCUUGCAACCACUUACUGUAUAUGCAUUAUGCAUUAUGCUUUUUUUUCCCUCAAAUGAUUUUGUAGUUGGUGUGAUGAGCUAUCAUUCGUUGACCAUUUUGGUGAUUCAUCUAUAACCCACCUUAUUGAGCCACGGGUUCACCUCCCCAUGCAACUUGAACAAUGUUGGUAGACCCUUAUUUCAACCUACCAUACCACACAGGAACAAUAUUUGGAUUUAUUGGAAACUACUUGGAUGGUGUUUUGAGCAAGGAUAUCACAGAGAGCGUGCGGUUCCUAACUCCUAUAGCUUUGUCUGAUGGUGGGAUUUGUGUUCUUUUGACAUGUAGAAAAAAAAAUUCAAUAUUUGGACUAGAAUGGCCCAUAAACUUGGAACAGACUUGCAUUGCUUGAGUUGUCAAAUAUCCCUUAAUUAGAAGGGUAUACCUUCAUUAGGACUCAACUGAUGGUUAUUUGACUCAGCUUGCUUAACUAUCUGGGAAGAGCAUUGGAAAGGUUCCUAUAAAGGGUGCACAAACAGACAAGCUAAUAUACUAGAUAUAUUGGCUUAACUUCGAACAAAGUCAAUUUCUCUAGAAAGCUGCACAUAAAAUAUAAGUUUGGCAUUGGUAGAGAACACUGACUAUUCGGAUAUUCUUUUAAAUUAACCAUAAUUUGGAUCUGGUUUUUAUAGCAAAAAUGUCAUCUCCUUCGAAAUUUGAAUGGACAGGAACUCGAGAUCGUUAGUUAAACUAAGAUAACAACAAUGUCAUGUUGAUGGGUCUGCAAGUCGGUGGCAGUGCACAUUCAACACAAGGCUGAUUGUUUCUGCCAAUAACAUAUCAUUAGGAUCAAACCAGUACUUGCAGUCUUGCACCAUAUUAUACCAGGCAAGGGGAUCCAGUUUCUGCCUGCUUAAUCAUUCACGCCCUCACGAUUGAGCAUAGUAAGCAUUGCACAAAUUAUUUGCAUACAUACGCGAAUAACUUGAAGAGAAUUUUUUUUUUUCAAUCCAAGUGUGCUUAAACUGUGCAUAAGUGAAGUUGAACAAGCAUCACUCCCACUAUACCAUGUUCUACAAUGUGAAAUAUGAUGCAAGUCCCCUUUAAUGCAACCUACAAUUAAAGGACCAAGUGCUAUAAAAAAAUUAAUUUUCCUUCCAACACCCUGAAGCAACUGGAUAUAUAAACGAAAGUCUUAAAAGUUGUUUGACCAUCAUUACAGCUAAAUUUAGAUAGCCUGUGGAUUAAAUAAGAGUUUAAGCUCUAAGUUCAUGUAUAGGUCCUGAAAAGGUAUAUUUGCGUUCGUUUUCAUUCAAUAAUAAUGGAUAGAGGAACCGUGUGAGUCCAUCAAACAAUCCUAGCUUUGUUCCAGACUUCCUGUAAAGAGGGACGAUAGGUAGGAGUUGACCAUAGUUUGGUUGCACACCACUUAAAUAUCAAUAAUAUAUAAAUCAUACCUCUAACAUUAUUAUUAAUUAAUUAAUCAGUUGAUUAUUGUUAUUAAGUGGUGUUUACAUAAAGAUGGCCUUUGAUCCCACCAUAUCUAAACUUAUUAAAUGAUCUUAGGAGUUGGGAGUAUAUUAAGUCUAAGAACAUAGUUAAUCAAUAAUCAUAUAUAAUCAAAUGGCACCGCUUCGAUUUUAGCUUAAGUAUGCUGUUAGAACUCGGAAAUGAAGUUAAACAAGGGAUUUAAAUUUUAGUAGUAGGUCAUUAUGUCCUUCCACUGCUGUCUCGUUGAAACUUGUACAAGGAAAUAGCACAAAAGUCUUGCAGUUUUAAAAGUGCAGAAUUUUUCUUAUGUAUAUGCAUCUUCCAGUCCUUAAAUAGUUAAAUAUAGACAAGCAUUUGUUUCAAACUGCCUGAAGCAUCCUGACAGGAACAUAAAAUGAUAGAAUGGAAUGUUGUUGCUUAAUGAUCAUUUAACUGCCGUGAAAAAAUAGAAAGCUGUCAGUCAUUUCCCAAAAGAAAGCAAAUUAUUUUCAACAUGCCGUUGCCCUACCAGGUUUGUUGGAGGUGGACCAAAAUACUUAGUCAUUGUAAACUGAACAGCUAGAACAAGGUUAUGGAAUAAAUGACUUGAAUUUCAGAGGUGAUUUAGUCCGAAAACUCAGUGUACCCAUUGGAGUAUACCAAUUUGUUAUCCGGAUACCACCAUUUAAAAUAGGGGUUUUUAGACUUUGGGCCACCUAAUUAAUGCCUAUUUAGGAAGUGGGACGCUGGGCUUCCAUUAGAAGCCGAUAAUAAUGGGAGCUACACUGGGCCACCUAAAAUAUCUAUUUCUUUUGUUCUCCCUAAAUCUUCCACCCAGGUAAUAAUAAAAGGGAGCUACACUGGGCUUCCAUUAGAAGUUUAGAACCAUGAAACAGCAUUCCUUUACAUGUAUAAAAAUGAUAAUCAAAUGUCCAAAAGAACACGAGACAAAAAUAGAUAGAGAAAAAAAAGAUACACUACUGGAGCUGACAUACUUCUGGCUUGCUCUAGGAAGAACAACACUUUGAACUCUUAGAAACUGACUCUGCUUCUUGAUCACCGUGUAAAGCCACCGUUUCAACGUCCAUCAUUCGUGUCACAUCCUGUUUCUUGUUCUCUUGGGAAAGAACUUUUCGGCUUAAGAUGUUGUAAAUCUCUUUGACAACUGUCUGGAAGGCAGCACUGACAUUGGUUGAAUCAAGGGCCGACGUUUCCAUGAAGAACAGAUUCUGAGACUCGGCAAGGGCCUUGCCUUCAGUAGUAGGUACCUCUCUAGCAUCCUUGAGAUCAGAUUUGUUGCCAAUGAGUAUUGUAACCACAUUCAUAUCAGAGUGAGCUGCUCAGAAAGAUGAAUCACACCUAUAGCCUCAAUUCCUAGGCUAUAAGGAAAAGGGAUUUUAUGAAUAAUGGUGUUCCAUCAGUCCGUAAUGACAGUUGAUACAAAGACACAAACAUGCGGACGGCACAGGACCAACAUUGCAGAUUUGCAGGGCCUACCAAAACAAUGUUUCUCCAACUCCAAGAGAAGAAUCUGAUUAUAGAUAAUUAUAACCAUCAACCAUUUUCAUGAAUUAGGCCAACAUCUCUUAUGCCAUCUGACUAUUUUAAGACUCACAAUAAUGAGUUCUUCUAAUAUUAUCUCUGAGAUUCAACCAUUGCCAUAACUAAAAAUUCGAGUCUCCCAAAGAUAAUAUUAAAAGUAUUCACAUGAAAUGUAAGAUGGUUGAUGGCUACAAUUACCAAAUCAAGCAACAUAACAUCUCUCAUAAGUGGGUCCAUUGAGUGGUGUAUGCAGCCCCCUCACGUCUGUGACAUGUAUCACUAUCUAAUAGGUUCCCAUUAAUUCAGUUACUUAAAAGAUUUUCAGGCGGAGAUUUUCUUUAACAAUUGAAGUACAACUGAAACAAUAACGAGUACUUACAGUGCAGUUCAUUAAGCCAGCGACCAAUGCUAUCAAACGUCUGGCGUCUACUGAUGUCAUAAACUAUGAGGGCCCCAACAGCACCCCUGUAAUAUGCAGACGUCACAGCUCUGAAACGUUCCUGACCCGCAGUGUCCCAGAUUUGUGCCUUAACUUCCUUCCCCCCAAUAUCUAUCUUUUGGGUUUGGAACUCCACCCCUAUAGUUGAUUUGGAGUUUGGGUAGAACUCAUUUUUGGCAAAUCUUGCAAGCAAGUUUGAUUUCCCAACAGAAGAAUCACCAAUCAAAACAAUCUUGAAAAGGUAAUCCUCAUUUUGUUGUUCCUCUGUGAAAGAUGUCAUCUCUCAGCUCCUGCCCUUAUCACUGUUCUCUAUGAUAACAUGGUGACGGAAACAGAUGCACUAUGGUUUGUGAAACUCUUCCGGAUUAGAGUGUGGCAAAAUCUCCUAGAAACAACAAAAGCAUUGUCAAUAAGAGUGACAAAGAAGAAAUUAUGAAUAUACACACACAAUCUAUUUGACGCCCAUUUGCAGGACAACAUGGUAAUGAGAAUAUGAGAUAAAAAUUGAGAUCAUCUUAAAAACUUAACUCCAAUAAGGGUAUAUAGUUUUCGAAAUCCACUUCUGAAAUGUCAAAGAAACUGAUUUUGCGGCGAAAAUGACCUCUAUGAUUAGAAGGUCUCCUUGACCACUUUAAAAUUUAAAUAACCCCUUAAGUUAUCCCAACAUAUGGUUGUAAAAAUAUAUCGAAAAUAACAUAUUGGUCAAAAUAAUGCCUGUAUAACAUUCUGACCAUGUGUUUACUCAUAAAUAUGCAUGAACUAAAGAUGCUGUGAACUUAUUGAGUUAACAAUUGUAUUAGAAUUUCUAUGUUUACAUCAAAUCAAUUUCAAUUUAGUAAGCUGACUUGAUUAUCUUCCAACCCAACCAUAAAGUAAAUAUGUAGGGAACAAAUGCAAAACAGAUGGAUGGAUUGAAAUGAAACAGUAAAAAAUCCAUCUCAAAAUCCAUAAUCAAUUAUGGGAACAAAUGCAAAAUCCAUCACUUUGUUACAUUGAUAAAUGUUGGUCAUCUGUUUAAUGAAGAAUGUUGGUCAUCGAAUCGAAUUUAUAAAUAAAUUAUAAUAAUAAAAAUAAUCUUCAAUGAAACCCUAACUUAAUUGAGAUUUAUUGAUGAUUUGAUCUAAUUUAUUAAUUAAUAAGAAAUAAACAAUCCAGUUCUAAAACAAACAAAAUCUUGUAAUUAGGAAAAAAAAGAAGAAGAAGAAGAAGACGAAAACCACUAACCUCGAAGCGCAAGAUGAAUCAUGAAUGAAUGUAGAAGAGAAAGAGAAGGAGACCAGAAAACGAUGGACGACGUGUAACAAGUUUUCUUGAUGGAAAGUUGCACGAAGAAGAAAGAGUUUUAAUUUAUCUUUACUGGGCUGGGCUGUAAAUGUAUCUUUAAUGGGCUUGAAGUUGGCAAUUCUGAGUCUGGGGGUCUUUGUUGAACCCACAAUGCCACAUUAAAAUUAGUUUACAUUUGAACCAAAUCUUCAAAUCUUCCGCAUUUGAUGGAAUAACUUUUAGAGAUUUUUGGACAUACCCCAUUUGAAAGUGGAAAUUUGAGAUAGCCCCAUUUGAAGAAAAAAAAAUUCGAGGUACCCCAUUUCAAGAUGAUGUGGUGUUAUCUUAGAUUCUUAGUUAUCCAUCAUAAUCUUAGCCAUCCACCAUAAAACUAAUUUACGGCGCUGUAAAUCUCUUCUUUCUUGAGAUGGGGGUAUCUCAAUUUUUUUUUGAGCUGAAUAUGGUGCUUUGUGAAAGAUAUAACUGUUUCAUAUUUGCUUGCUAAGUGUUAAGUAAUGUUUUUCAACAAAAAAAAGAAAGUGUUAACUAAUGUUUGUAUCAGAAAGUAACACAUUCUUUGAAAACACAAUAAUGGAUUGGAACUUGGAAUCACAUUAUGGAGCAGGACUCUGUAACGGUCAGUUUCUUGCAAUUCCAGAUUAAUGUGGAUGUUUGAAAGUUUAAUCUACUAAUAAAUCACUCAGAUUUGUCUCUCCAUUACAUGACAAUUUCCAUCUCAUAUUAAUGACCAACUCAACUACAGCUGAUUUCCCUAUUCAAGUAAACAAAGCAAAUCCAAAUGCAUCAGGGAUUGCUCAUUUCUUUUCUAUAAUACAACAGAUGCUUAAGUGAUAACAUUUCAAACAGUGAGUACUCCCCAGACCCCAGCUCAUUGACUCGAGUCCCAUGAGCCAAAUACUUCGGAGGACCCAAUAGCCUACCAAGUAUUAACACAUGCAAUGAAGCCUUGGCAAUGUUAAAAGGUUGAUUAGAGAUAUAUACGGUAUCCAUCCGCAACCUUUGAAGAUGUAGGUAUGUGAAUCUCAACCUCACAAGAAGCAAACUGAUCCGCGAUGCUAUAUAGCACAAAAUCGUUGAAAGAUUAAGAUUGUGCACGGGAUAGUUUCUGUAACAUCCUAUCGUGUUGCAGCAUGGCACUCACACUGUCGACCACCAGAAUAAUCUGGAGAACCAAAACAAAACAGAUGUUAUCUUGAUAAAGCAGUGACACACACAGACACACAGCUCAGAAUCUAAAUACAUGAGAGUGCCUAUAAGCAUUGCUUACAAGUUUAUGACACUUUUUGGAUCACAGAUGGUAGAAUUAAGAUACCAUCAUACCUAAAUAUAUCUAUAAUGAGUUCUGGGUGUUUGAUGUUGAACACUCCUACAUGCACUCAAUAAUAUUUAUAAAAAUUCUAUAUUCCAAAUAUGAAAUGAUCUAAUCUAGUUAUUUAUUACCAGUAGAAGACUUAGCUCCUCAGUCCAUCAACUUUGAACUAUAGCUGGAACUUACAGUUCUCAACUAUCACUUUAAGAGUAGACCCUCUUUUAUUUCUUAAUACUUUUUAUGAGAAAUGCUAAGAAAGAAAACGCCAAAGACUCAAGGGUUCCAGUGCCAUUGAAGUCUCUAAAAAUCACAAGUGAAAUACUACGUCUGUGACUCUGUCAAAUGAACUGGAAUUUCAAUUCCUUGAUGUGUAAACUAAACCUAUUUCUGUGUAAUAAUAUCAAAACUCUUCAGAUAAAUUGCACAACCUUAUCUGUUACAAGGUUGCGUCGCAUCAAGUUAUUAUUUAGCCUUUCCAUUUCAAAGUAAACUAAACCAUACCUGCAAGCAAGCAUAACCCAUUGCUGUUGCAAAGUAGAAAUUUGCAUUACCAGUGCCCUGCAAGUUUUGACACAACUAAUCAGAAUGGGAUAGCAUUUUGUCAUUCACUUCAUGAACAUAUUAGAACGCCGUGCUGAGUGUGAGUGAAGCAAAGACAGGCAGUCUAUAUGUAUGUGUGGGUAUGUGACUGAGAGACAUAGAAAGAGUACCCUCCAGAUCCACAAGUUGUGCAUCACAGGGCUAAGCAACGCGACUCCAACAUAUCCACAGAAGAGGAAGAAAGAGAAUUUCAUAUCUGCAUGUCAUUAUAUGGAUGUGAUUACAAUUACGGAUUGCAUCAAUAGCGAAAAGAAUUGAACAAUUUCCCAACUGUUUGAAAGUUUACCUGCUAGUUCGUUAACAAACAAUCCCACUAGAGCCAAGUACAGAGCAGGAUCUCCACUCUAAAACAGAUUAGGGGGAAAAAGAUUAGGGCCAAUCUACUAUAGCCAAGUCAGUGAAGAUAAUAAGAAAGCAGAUUCCCAUUUCAGAUGAAUUGUGCAGGUUUCUCUGGACAUGUUAUAUGUUUUAACACUAGUAAUAUACAUCAUAUAUUAGUAAAUAUUCUGCAAGGAUUAACAUAGUAACUUACCGAAGGAUAAGAUUUAAGCAUCGAGAAGAUUGCUAUGUAUACAAAUGCAAGGAAGCAAGGUCGGUGAUUCAGGCGUAUUGCCAGCGGCAAUAUCAUGAACAAAAUAUUUAAAUGUAUUACAAUCAGAAAAAAGUCCCUGAAGAAUUCAAAAACUUCGGCAAAGAAGUACCUGCGCCCAAUUACCAUGUGACCAAUGUGUCAGUUCAGCAGAAAAACACGUUGAAAAAUAAAUUUCGUAUAUUGCAGGAAAAACUCCAGCUCACCAUAAGACACCAAUAUUUGGUGAAAGAUCUUCAACAGUAAGAAUAAAACCAUAUGUUCUGCAAGAGAAAAGGUAACUGGUCAGGUCAUCACCAAAGACUUAUCAUCAACAGUAACUACAAUGUAGACUAGAUCUUCACUUGAAACCCAAGGCAUAAGGGUUUUAUGUCACUUGAUCCUUCAUAUGGAGCAACAGUACCAGUAUACAAGCUGGUGAAGCACAUCACCUAAAGACUCCUUCAAAGAAAUCACAUAUACACAACGUUAUUUAUUCCCAAAUAAUUAUAUGAAAGCCCGUUUUUCUACCCUUCAAUGUACUGUCUUUAGUCAGAUAUAUCCAAAAGAAGAUUCCUAGUACUGCUCUUUGUCAUUGCAAUACCCCAUUGGUACCUUACAUCAGUUUCCCAAACACUUUAAUGUUUUGAUGGUCUUUGUCAUAUAAAACACACUUUCCCAAAAAGUUCAACUAGCAGUUUUUAGAAAUGUGCUCAUAGAAUAGAUUCAGUUAAAGAUCCUACACUACAGUAUGCCUACUCCAGGCUGAAACUCAUUGUUACCUUACAUCAAUUUCUGAAACACUUUAAUAUUUUAAUGGUCCUUUUCUUAUAAAACACUCUUUCCCAAAAAUUUCAACUAACAGCUUUUAGAAAUGUGCUCAUAGAUUAAUUUCAGUUAAAACAUACUUGUACUACACUAUGGUAUGCCUACACCAGGCUGAAAGUCUAAUGUUGAAAACUUACCUUUUAAACAUUUCUGGCAAACCACCGUACUGCUUAAGGGAAAUGCUGCAUAGAAAUAGAAAAUAGGAAGACCAUAUAGUCGCCCACAGCAGAAAGUAUAUGACUGGUCUCCAUGAGAAAAAGUGAUCUCCGAGAACUGGAUUGUUUCCAUUUGAACUGGCUGUUUUUUGUAGGUAUAAUUUCCUUGGUGGAGACUCUGGACCGUACCCUAAUAAAAAAAUCACCUGGAAAGGAUAUCAAUUAAUAUCAAUCAACAAGAAAGACUGGAGAGUAAUAGGAAGAGCUGACAAAGCAGAAUUUCAAAUUUUCAAAAGAGAUUUAGUUUCCAGUUAUUUGUAUAGACCUUGAUAAUUGAUAUUCAAAUAAAUACAAUAUAAAAGAAUACGCACAGGUAUCACUAGGAGUGAAGGAUAUAAAGACAAGUGAGAUGCAGUGACCCAUCCAAAAGCUGUCAAUGGAGCCAAGCCUGUCAAAAAGGCAAAGUUAUUAUGCAUCAUCAACAUGUAUGAUGUCUAUAAGAUGUGUCACCAUUAAAAUAAGUAAAUAUUUGCAGAAGCAUAUGGGUCCACAUAAUUGAUGAGACGAGUAUUUUAAUUUAUCUAACAAACAAUAAUAAGACUUAUAAUAUAAACUACCCAAAUAAGACCAAUCACAUCUUAGAGUUCACUUCUAUAGUGAAUUCAUAUAGACGGCUCUUUUCCUUUAAUGUUCUUUUGUGGUCCUUUCAGUCUCAGCCUACUUUAAAUUUCGCCGUGAAGAAAAAAAAGAAAUAUCUAUCCAUAAAAUAUGAUGUAUUUAUUGAAGAUAUGCUUUAUGUAUACUUUAUGGCAGAAAUAUGGAGCAUCUAUGCAAACAGUACAGAAUGUGCUGAAUUGCCAGAUGCGAGAUAGUCUGAACAUCCUACAGGUUGGAUGAUACCAAGAAGCCCAGGUUCAAUUUCAUUUUCCACCAAUAAAACAGUAGUUUCAUGAUAGAUAAUGCGACAGAGAAAGCCGCACAUAUGCCAACAUUACAAGAUUACAUCAAAUAGCAAAGACUAUGUCCUCCCAUAUUUCUGUAAAGUCCAUAGGACCCUAUGUUCAUAAACCCAAUUUUCUUUUCUUUGUUUCCCACUUUUCAGCAAGGUAAGUUGAUAGUGGGCUGACUCCUACCAGACCAAAGAACCCAUGUUCUCCAUAUAUGUGGCAAGCUCAGUUAUUGGGAAAUGAAGAUGGGUACUACGAAAUCAUGAGCACACACCACCCAUCUGCGUACAACUCAAAAGGCGCGUAUAACUUACAACACGAAUCGAACCAAGCAAUGUUUAAAUGCAGUAGGUUAAGGCAUCCCUGAGACAAGCUACCUCAUGCAUGAACCUAUAUAUUUGACUUAUAAUUUAAUAAUUACAUUAUCAAUUAUGUUAAAUGCAUUAUAUUAUUUACUUAUUACUUUCUCAGCCGAAUUCACAAGCUUCUAAGUUCCAAUAUCACUUCUUAUGCUUCCACCGUUAUAACCACUGUAAGUCUGUAACAAAGUCCACCAACGAGGCUACGUUUAAUGGUUGUUAUAGUAUAUGGAUAAGUCCAAAGAAAAUUAAAAUCCAAAUGCUGUUCUUCCCAAGUUCAAAAUAAAUAACAAUGCAAAGAUAAUACUGAGGAUAUUUUUAUCUUCAAGAAAUUCAGUUAUUCAAGAUAGCAUGGGAGAGAAAAGAAUAAAAAGGAGCCCUCGCCAAGUCAUACAUCCAAUAUAACUUGUAAGGCUGCAGCUUUACAUUAGUUCAGUAAACUUUGCAAGACAUUAUAUAAUACAUUUCGCUUCUUGGAAAUGUGUAUGUGUGAUCGGAAAAGUAAAGAGCAUGUCACAGAUGUAAUCAUGUGUAUAAUCUGUUUCCUAUAUAGUCAUAGUCAUAGAACAUAGAACAUACCACGAUGCGUUGUAAUGCCUAUAAUACAAUAGCAUACUUGACCAAUUUGCUAGCUUUUUACCUGAACAUGCUCCAUAGAGAGACAAAACAACCAUCAGAUUUUCAAUGGGGGAUGUCGACAAGCCCAAACAUGUGACUAUUGUGAGAGGAUUCCAUAAAUAUAUUAGAGAAGCAAUGUCUCCAGCAGGAAGAAUAUCUGAAAACAUGUCAAAGUGUGAAUGUCAUCAGCAUACGAAUGGGGAAAAAAAACAAUGCAAAGAUAAAAACAAUAGAACUAAAUAAUUCGAUAGUAGAAAACGGGUGGACACAACUGUUUCAAAAAUUUAGGUCCCUUACACACAAUUUGACAUACCUGAACUUUCUAAGACUUUGUCAAGGUUCAAUGAUUUUAAGCGAUCGCUAUAAGCCAUUUGAAGCUUCCAACCAGUUUCUCGAAUAAGCACUGCAGUGACAAAAUCUGCAACCACAAAUAACAAGCUGUGUACAAAAGGUAUUGAAAUUAACAGCAUACUUAACCCAGUUUUGACUUAAAGGGGGGAAAGUAAAACAAUAUUUCCACAAUAAUAAAAAAUGAUAGAUAAAAAUAUGUGUCAUGUGGCCAGUUUUCAAGGAAACAAAAGAACGAAUAGGAUUCAAUUUUUUUCUUUACAUUGAUGCAUCUAUACAUAAAAAUUUAAAAUUCAUUGACUGUGACAACAAUAUUUACAGACAAAUAUAAGUAAAACACACAAUAAUGAAGUGAAAUUGAUUCUUACCUGCACAAAAGAUAACUUGGCUGGCCAUUGGUUCUGUAAAACAUUAAACAUUGCAAGUAAAACACUUCUGAACCCAACGCACAUAAAGUAACUCGCUUCAUACAUAAUGUAGUUUAAACUUCAAUGCAAUAAUCAUAUUAUUUACCCUAAAACGGUUAAUGGUCCUAGAAGAGACAGUAACAAAGGAGAACCAUGGUACAUAGAUCCUGCAAAAGAAAAAAAAAAUGCCCAUCAACUAAUUAAUCAAUAUAACAGCAAAGAAAUGCACUAAAUAAUUUUCGACAAAUUUUAUGAAUUUGAAGAAAAAAGAACCUGCAUAAGGUGACAUUGAAGACUGUUUUAACCAGUAACCUUCAGCUACUGCAGUAAAAUUAAAACAGUAAAAUUAAUGACUAGUACCAUUAAGGAAACAAGCAUAAACCCUAGAAGGUGAAGGGAAUGAGAGAUUACAUCGACGGAGACUAGUGAGAGGAGUAGCAAUUUCAGCACGAGAACCAAGAAUGAAAUCGUUCGGGAAAUAUAUGAAAACAAGUCUGAAGAUUAAUGAAGCAAUUACCCAAACCCAAAACCAUCGAAUUUUCUCCAUUUUUGCACUUUGGGAUCACAGUUCAGUGUGGUUUGAAGUGGAAGAGGACUUCGAGUUGAAAACGGGAAUAUGUUGCAUAAGAACUACUCUUUAAAAGAGUUGCACCGUGAAAUACUGAAACUAUGUACAAUGGGCUUUAAUUUGAACCAUGGGCCUCAAUUUUUGUCAAAUAACAUACCGUGAUGUAUCGAGCGAAAACUGUCGAUAUUUAGAAUUGCAGUCAACUCAAUUUGUCGAAAAUUCGAGCGAUGUAAGGAAGGAAGUCGGUAGAACACAGUUACACAGGCAUGGACGUCUGAACCCCUUUCACUUUCCCCUCCCUCUUCUUCUUCUUCUGGUUAUUUUCUCUAUUGCUCUUCUUCUUCUUCAUCACGUAACAACAACUGACGCUAGAUUGAUUCAUCUCUCUUGCCAUCUCUAGCAUCUUCUUCAUGAUUUCAUCUUUCUCGCAUUGAAUUUUCUCGCUCUUCAUCCGAUCUCGUGAACAAGUGUUGAGUUAAGAAUACUUUGAAUUAGGUAAUCAAGUCUUCUAUCUAUCUGUUAUUUGAUUCGUGUUUAUUGUUUUGAUUUCUUGCAUUUGGUUGAUACUUGGAUUUAGCAGACCAUCUUGAUUUGAACUCCAGAAACUCUAAUGUAUGUGUAUUUGAUUUGAAUUGCAUAGACAUUAAUGCAUGUUUGUUUCAGUCUCAUGAACCCUAGAGAAAGAGAGAGAGAGAGAGAGAGAGAGAGAGAGAGAGAGAGAGAGAGAGAGAGAGAGAGAGAGAGAGAGAGAGAGAGAGAGAGAGAGAGAGAGAGAGAGAGAGAGAGAGAAGUUUAUGAUUUGUUUUGUUAUUUGAUUAACCAAAUUUUAAUUUGCUACAUUUUUUACUUCAGGUUUUGUCGUAUCUCUAUCUAUUUCCCGCCUGGAUUUAUUGUUCGCUAUCCACAGAAAUGUGGAAUGCUAAUACUAGUUUAUGUGUAUUUGGAUUGGGGAAAUGGAUGGAUUGAGAAUUGAAAUCGAAGAAGAAAAAAUGGCUCCACCAGUAUCAACAAAGGUUUCUCAAGGGGUUUUGGGAUUUUCUUUAUUUGGAAAUGGUGGAGGAGGGUUCUUUAAACCAGCGACAUUUGCAUCAUCAUCAAAUGAAGAUGAGAAGAGUAAGGCAAAUAAUAAAGACGAGAAGAUUUUUGUAUCCCCUUCUGUAAAGCUACAAUUGGAUAAAGACAUUUACAGGCCUGGUGAUUCUGUUGCUGUGACCAUUACCGUUCAUAACCCUGCUAAUACAGAUGAUGCCACAUGUUCUUCUUCGUUUCUGAUUGAAAAACUUUCUUUUGAAAUCAAAGGACUUGAGAAGUUGGAUACUCAGUGGUUUGCCACUCCUAAGCCAUUACCAGGAUCCAAACAGAGAAGAGGUAACACUAUCAACCAAUUAGUCUUCUAAUUGUUUACAUUUUUAAGCUUUACGAUUUGUUAGCACUUUUGUGUACUUCUGAGUUCUGUCAUUCUAUGAUUGCAAGAGGAAUAAUAAGUUUUUUACAUGGAUAUCAGUUUGACUCAAAAUUGUCAGGAAGUUUUAUAAUUAGCUUGGUCAUUCACAAUUCACGCCAUCCUCUUUGAUUUCGUUAAGAAUGGCAAGCCAAAACAACCAAAGGACUAUGCUGGAUGACUUAAAUUAGAAGAUGUGCCCAGCUUUACAACCAAGUUGUGAGUCGAACUACUAACUAUGUACAGAGAGCUAGUAUAAAAGCAGAAAUAUAUUGUUUGUAUGUGUAAUUCCGCUGAAGCUGGAGCACAAAUCCCAUCAAUCCUAGGUUGCUAAAAUUAAUGUCGAAAUUUUUCUACUAAAGACUUUAUCUAAACGUUUCCUACUUAGCAUCAAGGAAGGAAUGGUUUUUUUUUUUUUGUUAAUGAAAUGGUAAUUGAUCUCAAUAUGUUUUGUUUAAUCAUGUUGAAACGUCAUCAACAAGAAUCAUCGAACUGUGUGUUUUGCCUAUUAUAUAGUAUUAUUGUGUGUACUCUUUAGCAACGUUGCUGUACCAAUUGUGUUUGUUAUUCUUGUGUGCAGGUGAGCAUGUUUUUCUGGACAGUUCAACACCAUCAAUUGUUUCAAAUCAGGUUGUUUCCACAGGUGGAACUAAAACAUGUAAGUAAACUGUUUCAAACCAAGUCUUCAUGACAUAGCAAUUCAGUUGAGGUUGUUGAGUGUUAUUUUCUUGUAACCUCAUCUAUUUGAGAUGAUUUUUUUCUAUUGUCUUACCCUUUUUUACCCUCAGAAAACUGUCAUCUGCAGAUAUUGUGCGGACAGAGCUUCCAGAAAUCAUACCACCAACUUACAAGGGUACCGCGAUUCGUUACUUCUACUAUGUUAGAAGUACUUUGGCAGGACGAUGGCUGGUAUUGGAAAAUGGGCAAUAUCGCCGAGAGACUAUGAAAAACCUAAUUCAACUGGUUGGUGUCCAUGGUAGAUCAAAACAAUUUGUUAUGGUGCAUAUUGUUCUCCCUAAUGCAUUAUCUCAUGCCUAUUUCGAUGACGUGUUUCCAUUUCUAAAUAUCCAUCGUAAUUCCUACUAUUUCAUCAAGUUUAUUGACAGGUUUUAUAUUAGAUGAAAUGCCAAAAAAGCAUAUUAUGGAAACCGUGUUGCAAUAUAAAAACAUAGAUAUGAAAUAGUCACUAGCAAGUAGUAACUAGCAUGGGUUUCUUCUACAUAAAAGCCCUUUAAAUGGGAUGUCAGUCUCUACGGGUCCCCCUCCCUCCACCUAAAAAAUAUAAAGUGAAAGAUAAGAUAGAGAUGGCUGUAUGAAAAACUGAGGUGGGUGCUUUUUAACAUUUAUUUACUAUACUACUUAUUGAGAAUAUAUUAUUUCAUGACUGUUACAUUCCAAUUAUAAAACCCUAUCUUAUAAUUUCUCAUGGAUUAAAAGUUCUUGCAAAAUAAGAAUGGAAGUAACAAUAUAAUAUUAAGGGUAAACAAAAUCAACGAUUGCUUUUCUAUAUUUGUCCCUCUUAUUUAUUUCUUGCUAUGACCUGUAGAUAAUUGGAUUUUAUUUUUCGAAUUAACAGUAAAAUAUGAGAACUAAUCUGAUAUGCAUGAUUAGCCCUUGAGAUUAUGUUGAACGAAAAAUAAAAUUUGUAUUUAUAACUUGUCAUAUCAAGUAGACUAAAUGAACCUUAAAGAGUAUUUACAGUAUUUAUCAAUUAAUCUUACAUCCAGUGUAAUCAAAAAGCAUUUAAGCAUAAAACCAUAUGUAUAUGCAACCCCCACAUGUCUUUCCAAGCAAGUAAGUUGUCUUCUUAUAAGAUAUGUAUCUUAUCUUGGAUGUAUCCUAAACUCCAAUUGGAUGUGAAUUUCAGUGUGAGCAAUAUUCCAUAGUACGACUCAAUUAAGGCUAAACAGGUUAAAUUGUGACAUAGAAUGGAGUUCAAAGCCUUUCUUUUCCUUCCAAAACACUAUGUAAGAUCUAAUCUAGUCUUUAGCUCUUCUGACUUUUUCUUAAGUAGAGAGCAGUGGCGUAGCCAGGAUUUUCGGUGAGGGGGAGCACCCGACCUGUAUAGGUAUUCAUAGUGAAAAAAAAAAGAAGCAAAACAGGUUGAUGGGUAAGGUAGAAGACGAUAAUUAAAUCCAAAAAUAAAAGACAUCAAAAUAUCAAAUUAUAAUGGGAUUAUGUAGUAGCAAAGUAAAAUUAAGUAGUAACCUAGAUUCCUUAAAAAGAAGCAAUGCAAUUUUUUAGGCAUGUAUCAAGGAAGUAAAAUACAAAAUAACCAUAAUAUCCUUCCUAUGAAUGUUAAUUGUUGUUACCUAGUUAAUUAUAUUAAGGGUUAAACUAGUAAAAAAAGUAUAAAUCAAACAAAUUAAUAUCUUUUUGGUGUACAUACAAUAUAAAUAUAGGUAUUUCCAAAAAGUUGAGGGGGAGCACUUGCGCACCCUCAACCCCCCCCCCCCCCCCCCCUGGUUCCGCCACUGGUAGAGAGUCACCAUAUUUUGUAUUUAUAGGUCUUUCCUUUGGUAAGAUCUAAUCUUAAAGUUUGUAUUGUGCAGGAGGAUCGUAUACCACUACAAGUAUGGGUAUCGCACAAAACUAGUGGCUUGCUUGUUGGAGAAGGUCAAAGUGAUGGUGCGUUUUUCAAUUUUAUCUGUUUAACACUUCUAUAUGGCUAGAAUUGUUAGCUUUUAUGAAGACGAUCUGCAUGGUUUGCGUUUUGAAGAUCAUUAUGAGAUCCUCUGCACCCUUUUCCAACUUGUAUUUACUUUUGUCUCGUAACUUAUCUAUAUGGCUAGAGAAGGUGGCAUUGAUUUUGUUUUAUAUGAAGAGGAUCUCCAUAGCUCGAGGAGCAUUGUGAGCAUCAUCUGCCCCCUUUCCAAGUCGUCUAUUACUCACAUUUCUUGUGUGUGCACAGUGCAACUUGAUGAUACGAACUAAGACACACAUUGACCAUGUUAUUAAAUCAUGCCGAAGCAUUGAUUUGUGUACAGUCAUAUGACUUAAUGUGGAAAAGUUGAGAGUGAUUGUUUUUAUUUUGUGAGCAAAAUAGUUUCAGAUCAGGAUAUAUACAGAUAAUUCUUUUAAUAUUCCAUGAAGGAGAAAUAUAUUAAUAUCAAGCAAUUUACGUUGGAGUUGGGCGGAUAUCCCACAUUAGAAAGGUAAAGGAAAAGCAACAGAAAUUAAAAAAUGUCAUUGCAGAAGGAUCUCAGAGUGAUCAUUUAGGUAUUGUGGAGUGUCACUCUUAGGAGUUUAAAUCCUAUUUAAGUUGUUUUAGUAUCUGACUCCUAAGCCUACAAGGUAGAAAGAAUAUUGAAUGCCUUUCUUUUCCUUCCUCUUGUCAAAAGAUUAAUCAAAAAGAUAUUCAUGAGAGGAAUUUUUUAUUUCAUUGUUUACAGGGAUUUUACCUGCUUCAACCCUCGGAAUGGAUAUCUAUUGGAAAGAGAAGGAUGCAGAUUCUGAAUGGGUAUGCCAUAUCCUACUUGUUACCGAUGACUUACAAUACUUUGCUAGAAGUUAUGUACAUGUCAACAGUUAAUACAUAAAGUAACCAUUUCAACUGCUGGUAUGGUUCCUUAAUUCAUUGACAAUUUAUUGUUUCAUUAGGCUAGAGCGAAUGAAUCACCCGAAGAAAUUGAGGAAGGCUAUGAAAGCUCAAGGGACGAGAUCUCAUCUGUCUCUUCCUACAAUCCUACAAAGGGGUAUAUGGACCAGGCACAAGGGAUUUCGUUAUCCCGGCAAUCAUCUGCUCCCAGGUUUUUCAAUAGGGAGUCCUCAUAUCAUCGUGGAGAUCGCUCUAGUUUUUCUUCUUAUGUGGCACUUCCACAGCUGUCUGUAGAUGAGUUUCUUGAUGAUUCAAGUGGCGGUAUGUUAGGUUUUACCUCUUUUCUUUGUGUGUAGGAUAUACAAAGCUGUAUAAUGAUUGCUUUAUUUGUGUUUUCAUGUGUUCUGUUGUGCUGUAUUACUAAGCUAUCUUUAGUAAUUAGUAUAACUAAUUUACUUUUGUACAGCAUAUCACGUAAUUUGUUUUUCCAUAAUUAUGUUACACUGCAAACAGAUUUACGGUCACCCAAGAAGUAUCCAGAACUUCUUUCCCCUAGCCAACAGAGAAGGCAUACCACUUCGCUUUCAACUGAUGAUGAUGCAGGUGUACCUUCCAUUCCUAGAACUGUUGAUCGUGUAGCAUGUAAAUCCUGUACUUUCUUUAAUUAUCAGUUUUUUUAAAUUAUGAUCAUAUGAUAUCCUAACAUGUUUAAUUUUAGAAUCAAUUUAGUCUUAUAUUCGACAAAAUCUUUUUCCAGCAGAAGGAUUCGUUAGAGGAAAAUCUUACAAGAUUAGAUUAGAUGACCAAGUUUUGCUCCAGUUUUCUCCAAAGAACUCAGAUCCAACAUAUUACUUUGGUGAUACAGUAUAUCCUCUUCACAGUUUGAUUUAAGAAGUGUUUCAGUUGCCCAAUUUUGUUGCUUCUUUUUCUUCUUGUUACUUUUUCUGUUUUUGUUAUCCACUUUCUGGUAUUAUGGCUGCAGAUUGGUGGUACUCUCAGAUUCUUUCAUGAAGGAGGUAGGCGAUGCCUUGAGGUAACAUUGUAAUCCACUAGACAAUAUUCGACAUUAUUGAAUUCCUGUUUUUAUUUCAUUUGGUAACUAUGAUUACUGAAACAUAUUACAGGUUGCAAUUGCAUUAGAGAUAUCCGAAACCAUAGGUCAACGUAUUGUCCACCCUUCUAGAAGGAAUUCGCCAAUAAUAACAAAGGUAAACAUCCUUCGGUUUGCUCUCAUUCAUGACAACAGGAAUAUGAUAUGAAACAGUUCAAUAUGCAAUACGUAUAAACUGAUUUUUAGCAAACAGAAGCACCAAAACUUGGUGUGGAGUUUAGUUUUAUAUUCAGACUCAUGCCAGACACGUUUAUUUAUGAUGCUCCUAUACUGUCUGAGGCCUUGUAAUCGAUCUCAGGUUCAAAGUGAUCAUCACGAGGUUGUUGCAGAUUUGGGGCAGACGAGCUUUCUUUUUAGUAUUCCUAUGGAGGGGCCCAUGUCCUUUUCCACUCCACAUGUUUCCGUGCAGUGGGCUCUUCGAUUUGAAUUCUUCACCACUCGAAAAAAUGUGGACUGGACAAGGUAGGAUUGCUUUCAUACUGUUGGUACUCAUAGUUUGUACUUGUUCCUGUGUGGUUGUGUAUUCAUAGUUUCAUAUAACUGUACAACUAUGAAAAUAUGAUUUCUUCAUAAAUGAUUAGAAUACUCAGAUGGUCAUAAGACUUUUUUUUCUAUUAGUUUGUGAAGAUGAUGACAAUUUCCUUACUGAAAGAGAUCGUGAUAGAUUAACGAUCUGAUCUUUAGUCUAUAGUGAGAAAUUCAGAAUCACUUGAAAAUGAGAGAGAGUAACCUCUUACUGAUGGCUUAUCUUAGUUUACUGGUCUGUCAAACGUAGCAACUUCAUGUCCAGAGGUGAGAAGUGCCUCCUAUCAAUACUCUACACAAUGUUGGUAAAGCCCAUAACUUUUCUCAGAAUUGAACUCACUUCCAUACAAGAAGUUGAUUUAAUAUAUAGCAAAUCUUGUCCAGUUUCACAUAUUGUACCUUACGGGAGGUGGAUGUCUUCUUUUGAUCUGGAUGUUUACGAGAUUCUCAUGUAUGGAAAUACCAUAAAUCCAAGAGAAAGCAACUACAUUUUGGACCUUUAGUAUAUCAUUCACUCUAUAGCUAUCACCAGCAUCUGCUACUGAUCUAAACGUGGAGGAUUCUUUGCCUCACUGCAUGUAGAAAAUGCCCUCUUUAGUCACUUUCAAACAAAGCCUAACAAAUGUUAAAAUAAGUACAAGUAAUACUAGCAGUUGUAUGCACAUAUUCAAAGAUUGCACAAUUGGAUAAUUGUGUUUCUGUAUUCCUUCUUUUUAAUUCUCACUGUGACUCUGUAUUACAUAUAGUACAAGGACCUUUUAUAUCAUCUCUCUGUAUAUAAUUUAUGCAUAGUGUUCUCAUUUUCCCUGACAACUUUUUGUUUAUCUUCAUUGCUAGAUAUGAGCAUCCACUUCUAAUAGAAGGAAGAGAUAAAGGGGAGUGGGUUCUUCCAAAAACUGUGCAUGUACCUCCUCCUGGGACUCAGACUGUUCAAACAAGAAAUAAGAAGUCUUUUUCCAUGGGACCUGUUUGGGUUCUUAAUUGAAGGUCAGCAAACCCCGGUUGUCUGUUUCUAUCCAUGAACUUAUCCCCAUCUAAUUUUUUCAUUGGUUUUUUAUUUUAAUGGGGCAGAGAGAGAGAGAGAGGGGGGGGGGGGGGGGGACUAAAACAGGAUUUGUUUAUAAAAUCAUGAUCAAGAAAUCACACUAAAAUCCUAGUUGCUAAGCAUUUAACAUUCAAUAAUGCCCGUUGAGAACGUUACAGGACAUAACAACAUUCUGUUAAUAUAUGCAUGUACCUUCUGCAGCUUUACAAACUACAAUUGCGAGUAGUAUUUGAAAUUGUGUUGAAACAUCGAGAGAGAGGUAGUAUAUCAUUAGUCGACUGUUCCAACUCUUAACGGUAUAGCUGUGGACAUGUACAAGUACAGGGAUCCUCUUUUGUGUUUAGGUUCCUAUAGCUAGCUCACCCGGAGUUGUUGGACAUCUCUUCCAGUUACUUGUUGGGUUUGAGCACUGUUGUACUCUGUGCUUUUCAUUAUCGUCAAUUAAAUUGUCUUGUAAAAGAAAAAAAAAAUGGAACUAAUCAUGUUGUAGACCUUUUUUUUAUGAAAGUGAGCUUGGAUUGGGAAGCCCUACUGCCCCACCUGUAUUGAUUUCUACAUGUUCCACUCCCACCAGCAUCCUCGAGUUGCAAUUGUUAAGGUGUCGUUUAAAUUGUGAAGAUAAUGAGUCUGGUGUUAAGUGGAAGCUUAGCAGGCACAUGGUUAAUUCAUCCUUGAGAUAAUUAUAGUUUAUCUUUAAGUAACUGAUUGUAAAUACAGUAGGUAUUGCAGUGAAAGUAAUCUGAUUUAACUCUUAUUUGUGUGUAUUUAUAUGUGAUUGCAGCCCCCAUUCUGCUCAAGUGAACACCUUUGUUUUUGUUAUUUGGUGGUCUUUUCAGCCUGUUACAGUAUGUAACUUGCUUUUGUUGGAUUUCGGAAUACCCAUCACCGAAUCAGCAUCUCAACACAUUGUACAGAUGAGAAAGCUGCUAGACUUCGAGUAUGUACAGGGCGAGUGAUGCUCAUGCCAUCAUCUGCUGACUGUACUUCCCAAUUGAUUUUCAAUUUUUCCAUUGUAUUUUUAUUCUCUUACUUUUAUUCUUUGCUCUCAGAACUCUUAUAUUUAGGCCUCAUGGACAGAUGCCUGAAUAUUAUAGUCCAAACAAGUUUGGCCUCCAUGGGCUGCUGCUGCUUGUAGAAACUAACUUUUGGACUGAAAUGGACUGUUGUAAAAUGAACUGCUAAUUCAGUGCCAAUAAGGGAGUAUUAGGUGCCGCAUCCACAUUGUAAAAAAUGAACCCUCGACUCCCCUUACUAGAUCUUAUCAGGUAGAACUAUAUAACCUGACUGAUGUGAAGCUUUGUGGAGGGGAUGACAACAGAAUAAUAACUGUUGGAUUAAGAAUAUAUAACACUAAAUCUUCCAUUCUGAGUAUUAGUACCAUUCUUGUUUUUGGCAAUCUUGCUGGAAUUCAAUAACAACUUAACAAGUUCCAGUGUAAUUGGAAUCAGUGUAUCUUGCUGAAAAGUCACUGUGUAACUCCAUAUCUCACAGAAUCAUAUAUUUCUUAAGAAAAAAAAAAUGAUUACCAAGUAUUAAAGAAAUAAUUUUCUUAUAUUUUUUUGAUAUGCAACUAACCAACCAUGCAAAGAAAAUCAAAAGAAGAAAAAUUUCAGAUUUUGCUUGGUACAUAAAAUAUUACUGAAAAUUAAACCAAAAACAUGAAUAUCCAACCUCCAGCUCCAGGUACGACAGAUGCGAUAUUUGGUCAACAAUUGAACACGUCUUCUUUUAACAUAUUCUAAUAAAAAAGUGGUAUUAUACGGGUUGGAAAAAGUACAAAAGACUGCUAUACAGUAUGCAUACAUACCAGUAUACACAAUUCCAUCAGCAAAUUAGUACAAAUGCAUGACACGUUUCACCCACUAUUCAUAAGUCCAAACGCCAAAGAAUUAAAGAAAGUAGUAGUAGUAGUAGUAUAGAAUAUUGAAGAAACACCCAGAAGCCAGAACAGAAAGAAAGAAAGAAAGAAAGAAAGAAAGAAGAAUUUCAAUUCCAAAAGUCUCUUCUCUCUCACUUAAACUUAAACAUACACACUUACCCACCAAUCCAUCUAUAUUCCAAAUCCAGUAUCAUCAAUUUCACAAAUCCCUAAACCCACGCAAUCUGUUCAUUUACGAAUCUCUAUAAAGAAAAAAGAAAAAAAAAAACUCAGCAAGCAACUCGUCUUUCUCUUGCAAAUUGUUGAAUGGCGAGACCAAAUCAAGAAGCAAUUGAAACUUUUAUCAAUAUAACUGGAGCUUCUGAAGAUGUUGCUUUGCAGAAAUUACAGGUACGUUUUCAAUUCAAUUUAGGUUUUUUUUUUUCUUUUUUUCCUGUUUGGUUCUUCUUUACUAAUUAUUAUUAGAAAACUUUAUGAUUAGUUAGUUGGUAGGGUUUUGAAUUAUUAUUAAAUUUAGUUCAAGGUGUGAUUAUGAUUAAUGAUUACUGAUUUACUGCUUGUUAUUUGUGCUUAAUUGUUCAACUUAUUGUCAAAGUGCUUUUUGUUGUUAUAAUUGUCAUAAAAUUGACAGGUUGUUUAUGUAUAUGAUUUUGCAGUAAUUAAGGAUACAAUAUUAUUGAAUUAUUAGAAUGAAUUUAUUCAUGAUGACGCAAUGUAGGAAGAGAAGACUUGUUCGACUUAAGUGAUGUGAAUCAAUUUCUUAGGAAUUUUUAUGUGAGGAAAUAGGUGUUGUAGUAGUGUCAGUUUUAGAAAGCUGUUGCUGAUUUUAACAUGAACUGUAAGGGUGUGUUUGUUUAAAAUGCUGGAUGCUGAUUGCUGAAUGCUGGAUGCUUAAUGCUGGAUACUUAAUGCUGGAUGCUGAACACUGAAUGCUGGAAAAGUUGUUUGGUUAUCAUUUUUAAGAAGUUCUGUUUUUGAUUUGUUUGUUUAUGCAUAAGUGUGAUUUUGACCAUGUUACCCUAUUAUUGGAAAAGUAUUUUGACAAUACACAGUACCUUAUCACAUAACCCAAAAACCUAAAGUUGAUUUGCACUCUGGUUGCGCAAGUUGACCAUUCAGUGUUGUGCUUCAGAUGAGAAUGUUUCACCCUUAGCCAAAAUAUUUGUGUAACUACACUAUAUUGUUACGUCGUACAAACAGAAAAAUGUUCUAACAACAAAACUAUACACGCCAAUUUUUCUUCUAAAACAUGAUAUUUAAAAAACAAAUCUUAACCUUUUAAACGGCUCGUCUAAAAAUUCUAAAUUUUGGAUAUGGUACAAAAGAAAUCGUCAUGAACAUAUGGAAAAUAUUUCAAAGUGAACAGACAAAGGAAAGAUCCCUUACUAAGCAAACGAAUCUGACUGUAAUUUUUCUUCUAAAACAUGACAAUCACAAAAAAAUCUGUAACUUCAAACGACUCGUUUAAAAAUUCCAAAUUUUGGAUAUGAUACAAUAGAAAUCGUCAGGAACAUAUAGUAAAACUUUUAAAGUGAUCAGACAAAAGAAAGUCUCCUUAUUAAGCAAACGAAUCUGACUGUAACGUAAUUUUUCUUGUAAAACAUAACAACCACAAAAAAAUCUGUAACUUUCAAACCGAUCGUCUAAAAAUUCUAAAUUUUAGAUAUGAUAUAACAGAAAUCUUCAGGACCUUAUGGUAAAAAUUUCAAAGUGAUCAGACAAAGGAAAGGCCAUUAACUAAGCCAAUGAAUCUGACUGUGAUAUUACUUAAUGGUUAUGGAUGAUAAAAACAAUUUUUAUAAGGGUAGAAUUGUCUAAAUAAUACAACAAGCAUUAAGAAGUUAAAUUAAGCGUGAGAUUUUCGCUGGGCCAAAAUCGCUGAAAUAUCCCAAUUAGUUCUUAAUGCUUGUUCUAAACAAACAACUUAAAAAACACUUAUUUCUGAAUUUUAACCUGGUCUACCACUUAAGAAGCACUUAAUGCUUAAUGCUUAAUGAAACAAACACUACCUAACAGAUAUAUAAAAAAAGCUAAUGUUCUUUUUCCUUAUUGUACAUUUUGGGUGGUGGGUCAUUUUCAUAUAUUGGUCCAUUUUUACUCUUACUGGUUUGUUGAAGACUUGAAGCUAUGUUUGAGCCCAAAAAAAAAAAAACUGGUUGGUUGAAGCUAUUACUAAAUAUUGCAAUAGUGUGUGCCUUUCCAAAUUUUAAUUAGUCUUCUACUCUUCUAAUGCAUAUUCUUGGAACAAAGGAAAAUUUUAUGGUUUACUCUGGCUAUUUUAUGUGAAGAGUGGUUGGACAUGGAGUUGGACUGAAAACUUUUGAGUGUGCUGGAGCUUUCAUGCAACAUAUUGUGUUGGUCACCAUUUAUCAUUACAAACAUAUUUCUUUGGUCCAAGUGAUGGGUCCGUGGGUGACUGGAUUUUGCUUCCUGAGUCUUCUACUUCAGUUGGAAUUCUUUAUUACAUCAAUUAUAAGUUCUGCCACUAUCAGGUUACGCCUUACGGGUGUCCUAGUAUGAGAAACCUAAAUAGUAUUUCUUUUAGGGAGAAUCCAGGUCUUAAUGAUUCCUCAAAAUAUAUAUUUUUGACAAUGUUGCAAGCAUCUAAGACACGUAGACGCACUAACUUGAAUUGGGUACAUUGUCAUGAAAUUUAAAGACACACAACGAUAGAGAUUAAACCUCCACUUUGUCUGAAGUCAGAUUAAAUGUAGUUCCGUACCUGUAUAUUUAAUAUUUUUGUAAAACAUCAGUUCUAAAAAGUUUGUACACAGAUCUUGUUUGGUCUUAUCUGUAUAUUCCUUGUUUUUUACCUGCUUCAAGACCUUUUUUCAAAUCCUGCCGCAUAUUAUUAAAUAUAAUUAUCUGAUUUGCUUAAAAUUGUCUGCUAAUCAGGAACAUGGUGGAGAUCUCAAUGAAGCUGUAAAUUCACAUUUCAGUGAAGGAGACAGAAGCAUGUGUGUACUUUUAUUUCACAAUUUUUUUACAAUUUGCCUAGAAUCCUUGUUUUUUUUUUUUGUGGGUUAUUGAAUAUUGUUUUGUCGUGCGUUUGAUAUCCAGUACUAGACAUCCAACAUCGAUUCCUGCGCCUCAGAAUGAUCUAAUGGAUAUUGAUGAUGAAGCAAUUGAAGUUGAACCUCAACGACCAACUUUUCCGCUACUAUCUGCUGCUCAGCAGUUGAACCCGUUCUCAUUGCUUGAUCCAAAUUUCCGCCGAAGUUUCUUAGAAGGACAUUCUGCUACUGAGUUUACCUCUGGAGUACCACGGGUAACACAUCCAAGAGAGGUGAGGGAGAUACCCAUAGAAUUCAAGGACGAAAAUACCCAGCCUGGUCAUUCUGGAUUGGCUCCAGCAAUCGAGGAUGUCACUGGAACUGCAUAUGCACGUUUGCCUGAAACUCAUGGGACUGUCAUAAUUGAUGAUGAAGAUGACGACAUUCCAACUGCUCCCACUGCUCAUUCUUCUGGUCAGGAGAGGCACCUUACACCAAGUGCUCCUAGAUUAGACAAUGUGGCUGACUAUGGUAAUGAUAUAGAGGAAGAAAUGAUCCGAGCUGCCAUUGAGGCUUCCAGACGUGAGGUUGUAGAAGGCUUUCCAAAUCAGCACAUUGGUGAUAUAACUGUAAGUGACAUCAAUCAUUGUGUUGUAAUUGUUUGAUACUGUGCUUUGCCUCAUUUAUUGACUAGAUUCCGUUCUUGUUUAGGACUCAUCUGGGCCCGAUCUUCAGCAAACACGCUCUCAAAUAGAAGACCCUGACCUUGCACGUGCUGUUUCGUUGUCCUUGAAGGUUAUUUUUCCUUUUUUUAUAAAUUCAAGGUAUAAUUAAGAUCUAAUGAGAAACAGAACACAAAAAUGGCUCUAUUGUGUGCUUUCCAAGAUACAUACGAGACAAAAGGGCCAAACUACAACUCUUUAUGGAUUACCCUGAAAUUGGUAUGAUGUGGGGAAAACUACGUCUUAGAUCGAGUAUGCUGAAAACUAUUUUCCCAGACGUGGUUCAAGCUUUAAGAUUGAGCCAAUGAUUGCGACUCUUUUCAAUUGUUUUCUUGUAUCUACUCGUGGGGAGCUUAUCUGGUCAUUUUAGCACCACUGGUGUAUCCCAUUCCACAGUUUGUUGACUAUUUAUCCACUUAGGUUGGGCAUUCUCCUUGAAGCUUGGUUCCACAAUUGGGGAUACAUCCAAAAGAAGCAUCGAAAGGGCAUUAGUCCAUCCAGACAUGAGAAUGCAUAUUUCACUAUUUUAAACUCCUACCGCAGCCCAAUGUCCUGCAUACUGAACCAUCAACCAACCGCUUUUAGAAUGCAUAUUUUUCGCAAUUGUGAUGAGUGAUUGGGAUGGUGUUAUCAGAAGUGUGUAAGAUUUUUUCUACUGUAUGCAAUGUUUUGUUGGGUGUGAUUUCCUAUAUGAUACCUUAUUAUUAAUAAUUGUUAAGAAAAUAAUGGUUAUGAUUCCUCUGUGUAUCUCCAUAUGAAAUGCUUGAAAUAUGUUCCAGUUAUUUAAAUAUUCUAUGAGUUUCAGUUUUCUUAAUGUGUAUUUGUUUGUCGUUUUAACAUCAUGAUCUGCUUUCAGACAGCUGAGCGAGAGAAAGCUCUGCGUGAGCAGGGUAGCAGUGGUGGAACUGCAAAAGAUAGUGUUUCUGUUGCAUCUGACGUGGAAGAGCUGGAAAGAAUAACAGAGGCAAAUGGAAGGUACUUAUUGUUUGUUGUUUAUGAGCACACGUCUUUGUGUCUUCUGCACAUUCCUGAUUGUUGAUUUUAUAUGGUGGUGGAGGCAAGGGAUUGGCGCAUUCAACAGAGGAACCUUAAACCAACCUAAACUUGAGGCAGGAAGCUCAUCUGUUCAAGAUGAAGCUGAAGAUGUAGAGGAGCAGCCAUUGGUGAGACAGAGAUCCAGACGUGUCUCUUUUGGAUCAGAUUCUAUUAGAGAAGCUUCAGAAAUGGAUGAUGAUAGCCCUCCAUCUAGCCCGGGACCACAUGAUAUUGGUGACCAUCCCCAAAAUAAUGGAGCACCCUUCCCUUCUGAUGAGGUAUGAUCAUUAGCCAUUGAUGAGAUCAACAGUAAUUCCAAGUUUAAGAUAGAAGUGGAUGAUUGUUCUAUGUUGUUGCUAUGAUGUAGUGGGGAGGCAUAUCAUCCCAGGAGCAUGAUGAAGCAGUUAUGCUUGAGGCUGCACUUUUUGGUGGAAUUCCUGAGGGGACCGCAUAUCGUUUUGGAUACCCACCUCAGGAAAGUAUGCAAAUGGGUUCAGAUAGAGGUAUUUAUCCUCGGCCUGUACCUCGACCUCCAUCGCCAACUCUGGAAGCACAACGCUUACUGAGAGAACAGCAGGUCUAUUCGUUGUCACAUUAUUGUUGUGGUAUUAUUUGUUAUUCAUCACUAUUUUAAUGCUUAGAUCUACCUUGCAGGAUGAUGAGUAUCUUGCAUCACUGCAAGCUGACAGAGAAAAGGAGCUGAAGGCCAUUGAGGAAGCGGAAGCACGCCGUGUAAGUGAAGAAGUUGCUAGAGAAUCUGCUCUUGCAGAAGAAAGACGGAAGGAGGAGGAAUCUCGCAAAAAAAUCCUGGAGGAAGAGGUAGGAUUUCAUAUAUGUUCUGUAUAUGGAUCACUUGAGGUUGGCUCUUGUAUUAAGAACAAUAAAAUAGAUAACUUAUAGCGAGGCAAAGACGUAAAUGUUUACGAAAAAGUGAUAACCUUUCAAGUAUGUGAAGCUGUGGACAUAAAUUUACAUAAAGAGAAACUAAAGAAAAAUAAUACAUCACAAGUGAGUACGCACCUCUCCACGUUGGAUCCAUAUUACAAUCACUCAUUUCGGCAUUUUAUAUGCUCCUUCAAAAGACUGUUCAAUUCAUUAUGCUUGGCCGUAGUUUAAUAUUCCACUCUUGGUCCCUAAACUUGAGUGUUAUUUUUUCUUAUGUUUUAUUUAGCAGUCAUCGGUUCAAUAAUCUAAAAAUCAAGUCUAGUAAAUAGCUCACAUUAUUAGUAACUCUGCCUUCAAUAUAUAUCCAUUUCUAGUAUUUUUAUUUAUAGAUCAACCUUUUUAACCAAAAUCUUGAGAUGGUUCUAAAAGUUGGCAAGAAACCCCUUUUCUUGACGGAAAGAACCAUUUGUUUUGUUACGCAGAAGUUGUAUUUGAAUUCGUGAACUUUUGUUUAUGAUGUUUGAUCAAAUUUCUCACUGUGUACAGGAGAUUGAGAGACAAUUGGCUGCGAAAGAGGCUUCUCUUCCUAUGGAGCCUGCUACAGGCGACGAAAACGCUGUGACUCUUCUUGUUCGAAUGCCAGAUGGAAGCCGUCGUGGUCGUCGCUUUCUGAAAUCUGACAAUCUCCAGGUAUAACAAAUGUUGAGAAUACGCCAACAUAUACAUCUCUCUCACACGUACUCAACUUUGUUUGCUAUCUAUUAGAUCUGAUUGUUGCUCUGUUUUGUGUUGCAGUCUCUUUUUGAUUUCAUAGAUGUUGGUAGAGCGGUUAAGCCUGGGACCUAUAGAUUGGUAAAUUUUAUAUCCAUUUUCAUAUGCAUUUAUAUUAGUUGCAUGGUAAUGAUCCUUGGUAAAUUGUAGACCGAUUACUUGUUAGAAUACCUGCUGGAGAGAGUGUAGUGGUUCUCGCAAUGAAGAGUCAGUGAUAAUGGUCUGUGGAUAGGUUUCUGACCAUGCAUUCUGCAUUUUUGCUAUGUUAUUCUGCAUUUUUGCUAUGUUAUUCUGCAUUGUGAUCAUUAUCAUCUUGGUUUAGAGUAGAUAUAGAUUUCCGACUAUAGCCACUUCAUAGAGAACCAUUAUAAUGUCGUUUAGUCUAUCAGUUACUUGCUGUUACUCGUGAUGUUGUUGCAUACCUUUAUUAUUUGCUUACGUUGUUCUCAGUGGGUCUUACAUAUAGGAUAUCAUUGGGCAACAAAGGCAAAUUGAAGUUAUAUAUUUUUGACACUAGUUGUUUCUUGGACAGGUGAGGCCAUACCCUCGACGUGCUUUCAGUGAUGGUGAGAGCAAAUUGUCGUUGAGUGAUCUAGGAUUGACAAGCAAACAAGAAGCCUUGUUCCUAGAACUUAUUUAAGAUACCUCAUUGAAAUGUAGUGAAAUUUAGACGGUCGUUUUACAUAUAGAAUAUAGAAGUAUGGAAGCUGAUUUUUGAGCUUUGGGUAUUUGAUUGGGAUGCCUUAAACAUGCAAAAAGCCAAGCGAAGGAUAGCAGAGUAACCAAGAUGAACUUGACUGUUUGUUUGAGUCGUACCCAACAUUGGUAUGAGAUGUUGAAUUCAUGGUUCUGAUGGAUUGAUGGAUGCACUUGUAUAGAAGAAAUAUUUUUAGUAGCAUUCUUAUUAAAAACUUGCUUCACUUUAUUCAAUGCCUGUGUCCUGUGAAAUCGAAACUGGCCUCAGAGAAUUCUUGGUCUUGUACUGUCCCAAGGACUCAUCAUGAAUGUGGUUCUGUUAUAAAGUGUUGAAAGAAUUUGGAAAUUUUCAGGUCUUUUGGAAAACAAAAUUUUGUACAAUCUAUUUCAAAAUGGUUGCCUAGAGAAAUUAUGUUUAACUGCUGAUUUUGUACGGCGAUGGUGAUGACUAAACAUUGCUCACAGGCACAAGCUUGCAUAUAUUGUAUAACUGCUGGAAGAUUUAUUACUGGAUAGAAGGGUACUGCUACUGCCUACUGAGAAAAUAUCCAAGUUUUACUCAAAUAAGGUGGCAGUUUGACUGUAUUGAAAUAAAAAUUUAAGUUGUGACCGGCUACUAUUCCUAGGUGAAAAUGUUUCUUUUUCUAAUUGUCUCUCUUGGCAUUAAACUUAGCAUAUUCAAGCUUCAACUUAAGAAAAACAGAGACUACCUGCAACCUAAACUGUUUCCAAGAUGAAGCAUGUAGUUGCUAGCUUUGAAAUUAAAUAAUGUUUUACCUUUCAUAAAACUAUAUUUACUGUAUGUUGCUUUGCAAUCUCUUACCUGUUGCGACUAGUGACUUUGUGAGAGAUCACUAUGGCUAGAAACAACCAACUUGCAAUAGUUUUUCCAUGUAUUGGGUAAGAUUUACGAGGAAUGCAGAAUUGGCUCAGACUUCAUAAACUGAUACCUAAAUUUCAAUUACAUACUAAAACGACAGAUGAUGAGCAACCUUAUUUCGAAGAUCAAGCCACACAAUUACCAGAUUGAUUGUGAUUUUGGACUUUCCUUAUGAACAAAAUAAUGAAUUUAUCCCAAUAUGAAUGAAAAGUAAACCUCCACUAGAAACACUAAGAUGGAUAGAAAUAUUAGAGAUUAGAGCAGUGAAGUGAAGAUAAGAUGAACUGGACAAUUAUAGUUGCAAAAUCAUAAUCACCACAAAUCACAAUAGUCCCUGUUUCCUACAUACACGAAUUACCUUCAAUGAUAAUCAUUCUGAUACACAUGUCAGAGAUUGUAUCAAUCAAAAGGCUGCGUUUUUUUCUUGCAAUGCCACUCCAGAACCAUAUUGAACUUCAAGCAUUGUGCAAUGCUCAUCUUACCAAGUUCAGUGAAAUUAUAUAACAUGAUCUUCCUUUUAUCAGGAUCAUCCAUGACAUAAUCUGAUAAUCCUAUUAAUUAUUGAUAACUGCCUUUAAUCACUUAAUUCAACUGAGCAUACAAUUAAUUAAUCUGCAAAUAAAAUUUCUUACAAUAAACAAAAAUAAUUAUUUGACAUUUUUUUGAAUUUUUUUCCUGCUAAGUAAUUUAACUGAUUACAUUAAUCAAAAAGAAAUCAAACACAAAUACAGAAUCACAAACUAAACCCUAACCCUAACAAAUCUCAUCAUCAAAUCUCACAAACUAGUUGAUCAAUUGGUCUUUGGAUCUGGCAUAGGGAACAAACCAGCAUUAGCAGAACCUCUUGGUGGUGAAAACCCUAAAAAUUUCUGCAAAUUAGUUCGAAUACUAAUCGAACACAAGAAAUACAAAAAAGCCAUUGAACAAUCAGUAAUAUCAUCACCAGGAAUACCACGAUGACUCAUCUUCUGAACUAAUGCUGCUGGUGAAAAAGGUAAUUUCGCAACUGAUUUACCUUCAAAUAAUGAAUUAAGUAAACCAAAAACAACAAAAAGAACAACAGCAACAACAGCACCAGAUUUGAAUUUAGAUAAAGAUAGAUCUCGUGUUGAUUCUUUUAAAGAAGAUUCAACUCGAUCGAUCUUUUUCUUGGUUUUAGUUUUCUUUGUUGUUGUUUCUGAAACUGUUUUCAUUGUUUCGAGUUUCUUUGAAGCUUUAUCGAUUGAAGAUCGAAGUGAUUUGUAUGAUGAUGUUCGAUAGAUUAGAAUCCAUGAAAUUCCUUCACAUAGAAAAGCUGUACAGAUCGAGAUGAAGACGACGAUCAAACUGUCUGAGUAUUUGAAUGAAGAAAGAAACUCCAUUAUCAAAAAGAAUCUCGUAAAGAAGAAAGAAGAAGAAGAGAGAGAAAGUGUGUUUCUUCUCCUUUACUUGCUUGGUUGCGAUUUGAGAAGAAUUUCUGGAGAAUUUAUUGAAGUCGUUGUUUAUAGAAUUUUAGAUAAGUUAUGUGUUGUUUUAAUUGCACCCACCACUUAAUUUACUAAUUACACUCACAAUACACUUCUAGAGUUCUAGAACCACAAGGUAAAUAAGCUCCCAUAGAAGUCUGAUGAUCACAAUCUAACAUACUGUAUGCUAAAGUUGCCCACAUUGGCUUGAAAACCUGAUGCAAUUAGACAACACACCAAAGGAAAAAAUUAUUGGGCAGAUAAUGGCUGGUUUCGGACUUUCGGUUUCGUAAGAUGUAUAAUGAAAGGAAAUUUUGCAAGAUCACCACCCUAAAGAACUUUCAGGAAGCAAGCUUUUCAGUUGAUGCAGCAGUAAAAGGAUAAUGGCUUCGCUGCAGGUGUGACUGGCUAUAAAGCAGGACAGUCUAAUUAAAAAAGUGCAGCUGGCCUGCAGGCUGCAGCAAUUGGUCUAGGAUAAACUCUGCUAUAGACUGCAUGAUUUUCUCAUAGGUGUUUCUCUUGGACUUGGACCUGAAUGUAUGCGGAUUUACCUUACGGAGUUUUUACACGCGCUGACCAGGAAUGUGUGUUUUGCAUUUGUGCUCGACAACUGUAACAGGCUUGUGAAUUUAUGUGCCCUGUAAAUAUUUGCGAGCAUUGUUUGUGAAUAGGCAACAGAGGCCCAAUUUUAUUUGCAGUGCUUCCAGUAAAAUUGGUAUACCACCCUGGCAAGGGCAUAUUAGAUUGUGCAAGGUAUAUCCAUGAAAAGUUUAAAACCACUUGCACUGUCCUUUCUAGUUGGGAUUUUCUGGGGGUGAAGUAAGCAAUGUUAUAAGGUAGAUUAGUUCAACUUUCACUCAUUCUUGUUAUCUGUAUAUAGAAUAUAGAUAGCAGCAUUAAAAUGUGAUUAUGUUUGUAACCUCUCAUCGACGGGAACAAUUAGACUGAAACUUGUUGUUUUCGAUUGUUGAAUUGGUAUUUUAAUUUCACAACCACAUAAUAAGUAGAGAGGGAUUGUUUUUAAUAUAAACCUGUUUGAUUUGGAUAUUCCAAUUUUUUUGGUUGUAAACCAUCUCAAUUAAUAAGAUAAUAAGUACUAACUCAUUUCAUAGAAGAAAAUAUAAUCCAUUUAUUAAUACUCCAAUAAGCUUUACUUCCAUCUGAUAUCACGCCAUUUUUAAAAACCAGAUGAACAAAAAGGGUGAGGUAAAAGAGGACCAACAGAACAAGGUAACAGUAAGAACAUGUAGAAUUUAUUGCAGAUAAUCAAGUCCACAUCUCACUCUCAUGCACCUGUCAUCCAAGAAGAAAGCACAACAGUUAGUGAACAAGUCUUGGCUUAAUAAGAUUUCUGAGAGAAUGGAAAAUACAUACUUUCAUCAUGCACUAAUAUAAUUUAACCACAUGUGAGGGCAGGGAGACUGCAAGCAGCAGGAAUUCGAGAAGCAAUCCUAAGAGUGUUGCAUAGGCAGCCAUGU